rnacentral:rRNA from 1 species
CCCUACGGGGUGCAGCAGGAAUUGCGCUGGCUCUGAAAAUGGAUGGCAGAAACAACAAGGUAUAUUCGAUCUUAGGCGACGGAGAAAGCAAUGAGGGACAGGUUUGGGAGAUGGCGUUAUUUGCGGCAGCAAACAAACUGAACAAUCUGGUAACAUUCAUUGAUUACAACAAGAAACAAUUGGAUGGAAAUACAGACGAUAUUCUUCCUAUGGGGGAUAUUGCCCGUAAAUUUGAAGAGUUUGGCUGGUACGCCAACAUAUUGACGGAGGGAAUCCUGAUCUGAUUGCCAAGACAGUAACAGAGGCAUUUCGCGAAAACAUGGAUAAGCCGAUUGCCAUUGUGCUGAACACAGUAAAAGGAGCGGGGGUCAGCGCGAUUGAAGCACAGAAGUUUAAUCAUCACAUGACAAUCAGCAAGGAAUUGGCGGGAGAGC